AUAAACCAUUCCAUUGGGAUAAACUAUCCCAGGUUAUUUGGGAUAAACCAUUCCCAGGUUGUUCUGGAUAAACCAUUCCAGGUUAUUUGGGAUAAACCAUCUCAGGUUAUUCAGGAUAAACCAUUCCAGGUUAUUUGGGAUAAACCAUUCCAGGUUAUUUGGGAUAAACCAUUCCAGGUUAUUUGGGAUAAACCAUUCCAGGUUAUUUGGGAUAAACCAUUCCAGGUUAUUUGGGAUAAACCAUCCCAGGUUAUUUGGGAUAAACCAUUCCAUUGGGAUAAACUAUCCCAGGAUAUUUGGGAUAAACCAUUCCCAGGUUGUUCCAGAUAAACCAUUCCAGGUUAUUCAGGAUAAACCAUUCCAGGUUAUUUGGGAUAAACCAUUCCCAGGUUAUUUGGGAUAAACCAUUCCAGGUUAUUCAGGAUAAACCAUUCCCAGGUUGUUCAGGAUAAAC